rnacentral:rRNA from 1 species
GCUGGGUAGCUAUGUAGGGAAGGGAUAAACGCUGAAAGCAUCUAAGUGUGAAGCCCACCUCAAGAUGAGAUUUCCCAUUUCUUUAAGAAAGUAAGAUCCCUGAGAGAUGAUCAGGUAGAUAGGUCAGGAGUGGAAGGCCAGUGAUGGUUGGAGCGGACUGAUACUAAUCGAUCGAGGACUUAACCAA